AGCUGCCGACCGAUUAACUGACUGAGCGAGCCACCGAUUUAUAAACGUACAUAAUUUCUGACUGGCAACAGUGCCAGCGGUAGCAACAAGAGUAGGAAGUUAAAAAAACACCGCUUUUAAUUCUCUUUAAUUCCGCAUCACAAAAACACAAGCUUUUUCUUCAAUAAAGCUUGCAACCACAUUUUAUUUAUUCCCUAAAUGAAAUAAACUUUAAACAUACAAGACAGAGAUAGUGAACCUUGAAGACGCCGUCGACGUUGUCAACGAUUCUUUGAAGAAACCGAAGAUGAAUCCAAUUUAAAUAAUAAUAGGCAAAAAAGUAAUAAUAAAUCCACUACCGCUCCGCACAAAACUUGAAACGGCACUAGGGCACUUGGUGUCUUAGUAUUAUUUUUGGUAUCCCCUGUUCCACUUACCACCACCAAAAUUGAUUUCCAUUCUCUUCUUCGAUGGAUUUUUGUACUCUGCGAGCUGUGAGAAGAAUGGGGAAGACUGCUGCUUUCUGCUUGCUGCUGCUUCUGGCGACACACGAAAAGUAAAAGAAAUGGACGAGUGAGGGGUGGCUUCUGUGUUAUAUUAUUUAUUUUUUAGUCUAUUUUAUAUUUUAGAUUUUGGUUAAAAAAUGAUAGCGGUUUUUGAAAUAUAAAAGGUUUUUGAGAAGAAAAACAACUACACGAGACCCAGCUGGGACUUGUGGUGGUGGUUCUUUUCAUGCGACACUUUUAUUAUAUUUUUCCUUGAA